UACGGAGGGGGCUAGCGUUGUUCGGAAUUACUGGGCGUAAAGCGCACGUAGGCGGCUUUGCAAGUCAGAGGUGAAAGCCCGGGGCUCAACCCCGGAAUUGCCUUUAAUACUGCCAGUCUAGAGUCCGGAAGAGGUAAGUGGAACUCCUAGUGUAGAGGUGGAAUUCGUAGAUAUUAGGAAGAACACCAGUGGCGAAGGCGGCUUACUGGUCCGGUACUGACGCUGAGGUGCGAAAGCGUGGGGAGCAAACAGG
rnacentral:rRNA from 1 species